GGGUUGUGAGGUUAAGCGACUAAGCGUACACGGUGGAUGCCCUGGCAGUCAGAGGCGAUGAAGGACGUGCUAAUCUGCGAAAAGCGUCGGUAAGGUGAUAUGAACCGUUAUAGCCGGCGAUGUCCGAAUGGGGAAACCCAGUGCAAUUCGUUGCACUAUCGUUAACUGAAUACAUAGGUUAACGAGGCGAACCGGGGGAACUGAAACAUCUAAGUACCCCGAGGAAAAGAAAUCAACCGAGAUUCCCCCAGUAGCGGCGAGCGAACGGGGAGCAGCCCAGAGUCUGAAUCAGCUUGUGUGUUAGUGGAACGGUCUGGAAAGUCCGACGGUACAGGGUGAUAGUCCCGUACACCAAAAUGCACAGGCUGUGAACUCGAAGAGUAGGGCGGGACACGUGGUAUCCUGUCUGAAUAUGGGGGGACCAUCCUCCAAGGCUAAAUACUCCUGACUGACCGAUAGUGAACCAGUACCGUGAGGGAAAGGCGAAAAGAACCCCGGCGAGGGGAGUGAAAAAGAACCUGAAACCGUGUACGUACAAGCAGUGGGAGCACCUUCGGGUGUGACUGCGUACCUUUUGUAUAAUGGGUCAGCGACUUAUAUUCUGUAGCAAGGUUAACCGUAUAGGGGAGCCGCAGGGAAACCGAGUCUUAACUGGGCGUUAAGUUGCAGGGUAUAGACCCGAAACCCGGUGAUCUAGCCAUGGGCAGGUUGAAGGUUGGGUAACACUAACUGGAGGACCGAACCGACUAAUGUUGAAAAAUUAGCGGAUGACUUGUGGCUGGGGGUGAAAGGCCAAUCAAACCGGGAGAUAGCUGGUUCUCCCCGAAAGCUAUUUAGGUAGCGCCUCGUGAAUUCAUCUUCGGGGGUAGAGCACUGUUUCGGCUAGGGGGUCAUCCCGACUUACCAACCCGAUGCAAACUACGAAUACCGAAGAAUGUUAUCACGGGAGACACACGGCGGGUGCUAACGUCCGUCGUGAAGAGGGAAACAACCCAGACCGCCAGCUAAGGUCCCAAAGUCAUGGUUAAGUGGGAAACGAUGUGGGAAGGCACAGACAGCCAGGAUGUUGGCUUAGAAGCAGCCAUCAUUUAAAGAAAGCGUAAUAGCUCACUGGUCGAGUCGGCCUGCGCGGAAGAUGUAACGGGGCUAAACCAUGCACCGAAGCUGCGGCAGCGACACUAUGUGUUGUUGGGUAGGGGAGCGUUCUGUAAGCCUGCGAAGGUGACCUGUGAGGGUUGCUGGAGGUAUCAGAAGUGCGAAUGCUGACAUAAGUAACGAUAAAGCGGGUGAAAAGCCCGCUCGCCGGAAGACCAAGGGUUCCUGUCCAACGUUAAUCGGGGCAGGGUGAGUCGACCCCUAAGGCGAGGCCGAAAGGCGUAGUCGAUGGGAAACAGGUUAAUAUUCCUGUACUUGGUGUUACUGCGAAGGGGGGACGGAGAAGGCUAUGUUAGCCGGGCGACGGUUGUCCCGGUUUAAGCAUGUAGGCUGAUUGUCCAGGCAAAUCCGGAUAAUCAAGGCUGAGGUGUGAUGACGAGGCACUACGGUGCUGAAGUAACAAAUGCCCUGCUUCCAGGAAAAGCCUCUAAGCAUCAGGUAACAUUAAAUCGUACCCCAAACCGACACAGGUGGUCAGGUAGAGAAUACCAAGGCGCUUGAGAGAACUCGGGUGAAGGAACUAGGCAAAAUGGUGCCGUAACUUCGGGAGAAGGCACGCUGGUGUGUAGGUGAAGUCCCUGCGGAUGGAGCUGAGACCAGUCGAAGAUACCAGCUGGCUGCAACUGUUUAUUAAAAACACAGCACUGUGCAAACACGAAAGUGGACGUAUACGGUGUGACGCCUGCCCGGUGCCGGAAGGUUAAUUGAUGGGGUUAUCCGUAAGGAGAAGCUCUUGAUCGAAGCCCCGGUAAACGGCGGCCGUAACUAUAACGGUCCUAAGGUAGCGAAAUUCCUUGUCGGGUAAGUUCCGACCUGCACGAAUGGCGUAAUGAUGGCCAGGCUGUCUCCACCCGAGACUCAGUGAAAUUGAACUCGCUGUGAAGAUGCAGUGUACCCGCGGCAAGACGGAAAGACCCCGUGAACCUUUACUAUAGCUUGACACUGAACAUUGAGCCUUGAUGUGUAGGAUAGGUGGGAGGCUUUGAAGCGUGGACGCCAGUCUGCGUGGAGCCAACCUUGAAAUACCACCCUUUAAUGUUUGAUGUUCUAACGUUGGCCCCUGACCGGGGUUGCGGACAGUGUCUGGUGGGUAGUUUGACUGGGGCGGUCUCCUCCCAAAGCGUAACGGAGGAGCACGAAGGUUAGCUAAUCCUGGUCGGACAUCAGGAGGUUAGUGCAAUGGCAUAAGCUAGCUUGACUGCGAGCGUGACGGCGCGAGCAGGUGCGAAAGCAGGUCAUAGUGAUCCGGUGGUUCUGAAUGGAAGGGCCAUCGCUCAACGGAUAAAAGGUACUCCGGGGAUAACAGGCUGAUACCGCCCAAGAGUUCAUAUCGACGGCGGUGUUUGGCACCUCGAUGUCGGCUCAUCACAUCCUGGGGCUGAAGUAGGUCCCAAGGGUAUGGCUGUUCGCCAUUUAAAGUGGUACGCGAGCUGGGUUUAGAACGUCGUGAGACAGUUCGGUCCCUAUCUGCCGUGGGCGCUGGAGAAUUGAGGGGGGCUGCUCCUAGUACGAGAGGACCGGAGUGGACGCAUCACUGGUGUUCGGGUUGUCAUGCCAAUGGCACUGCCCGGUAGCUAAAUGCGGAAGAGAUAAGUGCUGAAAGCAUCUAAGCACGAAACUUGCCCCGAGAUGAGUUCUCCCUGAGACUUUAAGUCUCCUGAAGGAACGUUAAAGACGAUGACGUUGAUAGGCCGGGUGUGUAAGCGCAGCGAUGCGUUGAGCUAACCGGUACUAAUGAACCGUGAGGCUUAACCUUACAACGCCGAAG
rnacentral:rRNA from 1 species